UGCAGUUGAGAUAAGGACUGAGAUACGCCC
rnacentral:piRNA from 1 species